CAGGCCUAACACAUGCAAGUCGAGCGCCGUAGCAAUACGGAGCGGCAGACGGGAGAGUAACACGUGGGAACGUGCCCUUCAGUCCGGAACAACCCAGGGAAACUUGGGCUAAUACCGGAUACGUCCGUAAGGAGAAAGAUUUAUCGCCGAAAGAUCGGCCCGCGUCUGAUUAGCUAGUUGGUGAGGUAACGGCUCACCAAGGCGACGAUCAGUAGCUGGUCUGAGAGGAUGAUCAGCCACAUUGGGACUGAGACACGGCCCAAACUCCUACGGGAGGCAGCAGUGGGGAAUAUUGGACAAUGGGCGCAAGCCUGAUCCAGCCAUGCCGCGUGAGUGAUGAAGGCCCUAGGGUUGUAAAGCUCUUUUGUGCGGGAAGAUAAUGACGGUACCGCAAGAAUAAGCCCCGGCUAACUUCGUGCCAGCAGCCGCGGUAAUACA
rnacentral:rRNA from 1 species